UUGCCAGAAGCCACUCCGUUGGUGGAGUAGAAAGACCACCAGUAAAGAAUCCAGUGUUUUAUGAUGCUGGUGGUCUUCCUGGUGGGGUAACUGAGGACCAGAAACAUGGGGUUUGAAGGCUCUCAGUACAUAACUCCAUAUCUGUUACAUUGAGACAAA